AGAAAAUAGAGAGAAGGGAACAAUCAAUUUACAUGAAAGUAUAGCUAAAACAGCACUGCCCAAGAUCUGCCCAGGGUUAGAAAAUUGAGGAAAAUAAAAAUGUAAUUAUAAUAAUAAAAAUUAAAUAAAUACAAAGGGUGUACAAGGGGGUGGAGAAGUAAUUAAAAAAAAUAUUUUUUUUUGUAUGACCCAUCUGCUUCCUUAUGUAUCCCAAAAAUGUUACUCAUAACCUUAGCACCAGAGGAAAUAGAUCUAUCUUCAUCAUGUUGAUGGAAUUUUUCCUCUCAUGUAGACAAAUCAGAGACUGCUUUUUACAAUAAAUGUUAUAAAGGUGAAAGGGACUCGAAUUAAUUAGAACUUGUAAGAUUAAAAACAAAAGUCACUUUGUAAAAACCUGUCCACUUGGUUUAAUUUGUGGUUUGGAAUCUUGUGUGUGAUAUCCAUGUUGACUGUUUACUGGUCAUUUGGAUCACGUAAUAUGUGGGCUGAUAAACAAGGAGAAGUAGUCCGUGUGGAACACAGACCUUGACCCAUUACCUACAUGGCUACGAAGAAGGCCAGAGGGCAGAUUGUCAGAAAUCAAUAGUCAAAAUGUGACGCUAAAGGAUCGGGGGUGCAAAUGGUGUAAAAGGUCCACAGCAAAUAUAAUAAUAUAUUUAUAAUCAUUUAAUUAAUUUACACGCAAUAAAAACAAUUAAGUGCAUCAAACAGAACUUCAGUAAGAGAUUAAUCCUGAACUCAGUUCUAAUACUAAUAUUUAGAUUGGCAGUUCUUGAUGUCCAACUGUGCUAAAGGAACAAAGCACAAAUAAACACCCACACAUGAACUAGCAUUUCUGAUAUUUGCUUCUGAGAACUUUGUUUUAAUGCAUCACAAAAUGCCUGGACACUGCUGUAUGAUCCGGUAGAGAAAGAAAGGAAGAAAGAAACAUUACAAUGAGCACUCAACACUACAGUGACCAGAUGUGCACUUAAUGACACCUAGUGGAACUUCAAAGCCACUAGACUCACACACAAACUGAAGACAAAGUGGACCAAGACAUGGAGCAUGCUUUGUGCACUACAUUUGGAGCUUCACUGAGCAGAAAAGGGUCUCAUCAGAUGUCCCUGGGAUGCUUGUUACGAUAGAUGGCAUCAUGAACUCCAAGAAGUACUAGAAGAUGAAAAUCUGUCUGCUUCUGCCAAGUAACUAGGUUGGGGUUGGACCUUCCAGCAGGACAAUGAUCCAUAACAUACAUCCAAAUCCACAUAAAAAUGGUUAAAUGACAAGCUGUUGAUAAGGCCGUCCCAAUCUCUGACCUAAACCCCACUGAGAACCUCAGGAGGAGAGUCCACAGGAGAUGACCUAAGACCCUGGAGGAGCUGGAGAGGUCAGUGUGUGUGGGUGACUGUGGGAGGAUCAGAGUGUGGCUUUGUCUCUGCCUCGUGAUUGGCCGGGUAGGACGGCGGCUGUACCUCUUCAUCUUUCUCGCGGAUCAGUUUUUCUGUCUCUGCAUCCGUUACAUUGGGAGCUGUAGGAAUGGGGAAGUCCGUGCCACUCUCUCUAAUCUGUGAGGAAGAGGCUGUUGACCAGGGUGGACUUGCCCAAUCCAGACUCACCUAAGAGAACACAAAGGGACCCAAUGAGAAGAAACAGAAAGAGUGGGGCACCCCAAAGAAACACAAGACUCCCCAGUAGAAUUCCAAUCAGGUUUAUUUUACCUGCUACCAUUAAAGUGAAGUCGAAGCCCUUUUUCACAGA